rnacentral:tRNA from 1 species
CUCGUCUUAGCUCAAUGGUAGAGCGGAGGACUGUAGUUACAUCCUUAGGUUGCUGGUUCGAUUCCGGCAGAUGAGA